CCUACGGGCGGCAGCAGUGGGGAAUAUUGGACAAUGGGGGCAACCCUGAUCCAGCCAUGCCGCGUGUGUGAAGAAGGCCCUCGGGUUGUAAAGCACUUUCAGUGAGGAAGAACGCCUGGUGGUUAAUACCCAUCAGGAAAGACAUCACUCACAGAAGAAGCACCGGCUAACUCCGUGCCAGCAGCCGCGGUAAUACGGAGGUUGCGAGCGUUAAUCGGAAUUACUGGGCGUAAAGCGCGCGUAGGUGGCUUGAUAAGCCGGUUGUGAAAGCCCCGGGCUCAACCUGGGAACGGCAUCCGGAACUGUCAAGCUAGAGUGCAGGAGAGGAAGGUAGAAUUCCCGGUGUAGCGGUGAAAUGCGUAGAGAUCGGGAGGAAUACCAGUGGCGAAGGCGGCCUUCUGGACUGACACUGACACUGAGGUGCGAAAGCGUGGGUAGCAAACAGGAUUAGAUACCCCAGUAGUC
rnacentral:rRNA from 1 species